UACAGAGGUCUCAAGCGUUGUUCGGAUUCAUUGGGCGUAAAGGGUGCGUAGGUGGCGGGGUAAGUCAGGUGUGAAAUCUCGGGGCUCAACCCCGAAACUGCACUUGAUACUGCCUUGCUCGAGUACUGGAGAGGAGAUUGGAAUUUACGGUGUAGCAGUGAAAUGCGUAGAUAUCGUAAAGGAAGACCAGUGGCGAAGGCGAAUCUCUGGACAGUUACUGACACUGAGGCACGAAGGCCAGGGGAGCAAAACGGG
rnacentral:rRNA from 1 species